UACUAGCCCUGAAAAUGGAUGGCGCUGAAGCGUCGUGCUUAUACUCGACCGUCAGCGGCAUGUGCGGUAUUGUCUUCGUUUUUCGGAACGUGGACGACCAUGAAGCCCUGACGAGUAGGAGGGUCGCGGCGGUGAGCGCAGAAGGGCUGGCCGUGAGGCCGUCUGGAGCCGCCGUCGGUGCAGAUCUUGGUGGUAGUAGCAAAUACUCCAGCGAGGCCCUGGAGGACUGACGUGGAGAAGGGUUUCGUGUGAACAGCCGUUGCACACGAGUCAGUCGAUCCUAAGCCCUAGGCGAAAGCCGAUGUUGAUGUGGUGUAAGUUUACAAAAAAAAAUCUUAUGAUAUUUUAAAGUUUGAUGAACACACCCGUCGGGCGAAAGGGAAUCCGGUUCCUAUUCCGGAACCCGGCAGCGGAACCGUCAAAAAGUCGGGCCCUCGCAAGAGAGUUCGUCGGGGUAACCCAAAAGGACCCGGAGACGCCGUCGGGAGAUCCGGGAAGAGUUUUCUUUUCUGCAUAAGCGUUCGAGUUCCAUGGAAUCCUCUAGCAGGGAGAUAUGGUUUGGAACGCGAAGAGCACCGCAGUUGCAGCGGUGUCCGGAUCUUCCCCUCGGACCUUGAAAAUCCGGGAGAGGGCCACGUGGAGGCGUCGCGCCGGUUCGUACCCAUAUCCGCAGCAGGUCUCCAAGGUGAAGAGCCUCUAGUCGAUAGAAUAAUGUAGGUAA
rnacentral:rRNA from 1 species